AUUGAACGCUGGCGGCAGGCCUAACACAUGCAAGUCGAGCGAGCGGCGGACGGGUGAGUCAUGUAUGGGGAUCUGCCCGAUGGAGGGGGAUAACUACUGGAAACGGUGGCUAAUACCGCAAACUAUCGAAUGAACCCUUAGUGGAUUAGCUAGUAGGUGGGGUAACGGCUCACCUAGGCGACGAGCUCUAGCUGGGCUGAGAGGAUGAUCGGCCACACUGGGACUGAGACACGGUCCAGACUCCUACGGGAGGCAGCAGUGGGGAAUAUUGCACAAUGGGCGCAAGCCUGAUGCAGCCAUGCCGCGUGUAUGACGAAGGCCUUAGGGUUGUAAAGUACUUUCAGCGGGGAGGCGUUACCCGCAGAAGAAGCACCGGCUAACUCCGUGCCAGCAGCCGCGGUAAUAC
rnacentral:rRNA from 1 species